UGGUGGAGUGAUUUGUCUGGUUAAUUCCGUUAACGAACGAGACCUUAACCUGCUAAAUAUGCCGCGCUAACCCGUCCAUCAAAACCCAUGCGCGGCUCACGCGGUCCGCUGCGGGUGGUGUCGCUUCGCGGCGACGUCAUCCCGCCGGCAGGGCCCGGGUCCGUGUGGGCGGUAGGGUUCGGCGUCCGUGCUUCUUAGAGGGACUGCUGCGCGCCUAGCCAGCGGAAGUUUGAGGCAAUAACA
rnacentral:rRNA from 1 species